GUGAGGAAUAUUGGUCAAUGGACGGAAGUCUGAACCAGCCAUGCCGCGUGAAGGAUGAAGGCGUUCUGCGUUGUAAACUUCUUUUAUCAGAGAAGAAACCACUGAUUUCUAUUAGUGUUGACGGUAUCUGAUGAAUAAGCACCGGCUAACUCCGUGCCAGCAGCCGCGGUAAUACGGAGGGUGCAAGCGUUAUCCGGAUUUACUGGGUUUAACGGGUGUGUAGGCGGGCUAUUAAGUCAGGGGUGAAAUCCCGGGGCUCAACCUCGGAACUGCCUUUGAUACUAUUAGUCUUGAAUUAUGUUGAGGUUGGCGGAAUAUAACAUGUAGCGGUGAAAUGCAUAGAUAUGUUAUAGAACACCGAUUGCGAAGGCAGCUGGCUAAACAUAUAUUGACGCUGAGGCACGAAAGCGUGGGUAGCGAACAGGAUUAGAAACCCGGGUAGUCC
rnacentral:rRNA from 1 species